AGAGAGAGACAUGCGCGCAUAUCAAUAAGCGGAGGAAAAGAAACUAACAAGGAUUCCCCUAGUAACGGCGAGUGAAGCGGGAAGAGCUCAAAUUUGAAAUCUUAAAGGGUUUCCCUUUACGAAUUGUAGUUUAAAGAAGUGUUUUCUGUUGAGGUUUUGGUAAAAGUUCUUUGGAAUAGGACAUCAUAGAGGGUGAGAAUCCCGUAUUUGACCUUUACUUUCAACUUUGUGAUACACUUUCAAAGAGUCGGAUUGUUUGGGAAUGCAGUCCAAAAUGGGCGGUAAAUUUCAUCUAAAGCUAAAUAUUGGCGAGAGACCGAUAGCGAACAAGUACCGUGAGGGAAAGAUGAAAAGAACUUUGAAAAGAGAGUUAAACAGUACGUGAAAUUGUCAAAAGGGAAGCGUUUGACACCAGUGUUGUUUUUCUGAAAAUCAAUUAAAGAACUGUUUAUGCUAAGUUGUUUAGACUUUAUCAGCUAACUGUUUAGUUUUGAGCUUUUCUUUAAUGCACUUUUCAGUUAACAAGUCAACAUCAAUUUCUUUUGCUGUAAAAAAGCUUGAGGAAGGUGGCUUGAGAUUCGUCUUAAGUGUUUAUAGCCUCUUGCCUAUGCAGUCGGAGAGAUUGAGGUCUGCAGCGUAGAUCCUUCGGGGCUAAUGCAUUUGUGCUAAGUUAUAGCAUUUUAUAGACAACUUGUUGACUAUGAUUUGUCUUGUAGCUUACUCGCUUAUGUUAUUUUACCUACGCUUAGGAUGUUGAGCGCAUGUCUCUCUCU
rnacentral:rRNA from 1 species